UGCGUGAGAACACUAAUAUACUAAACUCUCCAACGACAACAUUUAGAAUUAUUAAUAAACACGCUGGUAGCAGACAUGGAUUUUAUUCACAUAAUAAGAAUGAAAUAGUUCACAAAAGAUAUUGGCAACUUCAGCCAUUACAACAUAUACAUCCCGUUUCUCAAUUAAUCCAACGAAAAAUGUUCUGAGUACACAAUCAUAAUUACUUCAAUACUUAGGCAUUAAAAACGAGGAAAUCGUAACGCUCCUCUCUCUACA